rnacentral:lncRNA from 1 species
CUCAAUAGCCCUUGAAGGAUAUUCAUAAUCAUACCAUCUAAAGAACUUACGAUCAUUCUCUCUAUCCCUCCACAUUAGGCCGCAAUAAAACCUUUGACCAGGGUUUGAUCGACUGCAUGAGGUGUACAAAUGUGCUCUUCAUUAUGGUGGCAAACGACUUCUGAGUUGCUCGAUGUUGAUAUCAUUGAAGCCUCACUCAUA